CAGCAGCCACGGGAAAACAGAGGGUGCAAGCGUUAAUCGGAUUUACUGGGCGUAAAGGGCGCGUAGGUGGUUAUGUAAGUGAGAUGUGAAAUCCCCGGGCUCAACCUGGGAACUGCAUCUUAUACUGCGUAGCUGGAGUGCAGUAGAGGGUAGUGGAAUUUCCGGUGUAGCGGUGAAAUGCGUAGAUAUCGGAAGGAACACCAGUGGCGAAGGCGGCUACCUGGACUGACACUGACACUGAGGCGCGAAAGCGUGGGGAGCAAACAGGAUUAGAUACCCGCGUAGUCCCUGUCUCUUAUAC
rnacentral:rRNA from 1 species